rnacentral:lncRNA from 1 species
GUUUAUGUUCGAUUAAAAUCUAUAAUUAUGUGUUGUCUAUAUUACAUACAAGUGAUCCUAGCUAUUUACUUCCGCUCUUCCUUUCUUUGUUACAAUUGAAUUGAUGACUGGUUUAAUUUAGUUGCAUAGUGGAACGUUUCUGGUCAAUUAUGCAAACAAUGGGUUUUUGGAUUUUUAGAGUUUGCUGAUAGUUUGGAGGUCCAAUGGCAAUCUUGAAUUUCUAUACGGAAAAUAUGUCGCG